UACGUAGGGUGCGAGCGUUAAUCGGAAUACUGGGCGUAAAGCGUGCGCAGGCGGUGAUGUAAGACCGAUGUGAAAUCCCCGGGCUUAACCUGGGAACUGCAUUGGUGACUGCAUCGCUCGAGUAUGGCAGAGGGGGGGUAGAAUUCCACGUGUAGCAGUGAAAUGCGUAGAGAUGUGGAGGAAUACCGAUGGCGAAGGCAGCCCCCUGGGUCAAUACUGACGCCUCAUGCACGAAAGCGUGGGGAGCAAAAGGG
rnacentral:rRNA from 1 species